rnacentral:pre_miRNA from 1 species
UAGGUACUCCCUCCGUUUCAAAUUACUUGUCGCAGAAAUGAAUGUAUCUAGAACUAAAAUACAUCUAGAUACAUCCAUACCUGCGACAAGUAAUUCGGAACAGAGGGAGUAUUAU